UUCCGGUUGAUCCUGCCGGACCCUACUGCUAUCGGGGUGGGACUAAGACAUGCAAGUUGUAUGGUAGAGACGCGGCGUACGGCUCAGUAACACGUGGCUAACCUACCCUUAGGACGGGGACAACCCCGGGAAACUGGGGCUAAUACCCGAUAGGUGAGGAGGCCUGGAAUGGUUCCUAGUCGAAAAGACUCGACGCCUAAGGAUGGGGCCGCGCCCGAUCAGGUUGUUGGUGGGGUAACGGCUCACCAAGCCUAUAACCGGUACGGGCCGUGAGAGCGGGAGCCCGGAGAUGGGCACUGAGACAAGGGCCCAGGCCCUACGGGGCGCAGCAGUUGCGAAAACUCCGCAAUGCACGAAAGUGUGACGGGGCUACCCCGAGUGCCGUCCGCUGAGGGCGGCUUUUCCCCGGUGUAAGGAGCCGGGGGAAUAAGGAGAGGGCAAGUUCUGGUGUCAGCCGCCGCGGUAAUACCAGCUCUCCGAGUGGUAGGGAUGAUUAUUGGGCUUAAAGCGUCCGUAGCCAGCUCGACAAGUCUUCCGUUAAAUCCAACGAUUCAAUCGUUGGACUGCGGGAGAUACUGUUGGGCUAGGGGGCGGGAGAGGCCGACGGUAUUCUCGGGGUAGGGGUAAAAUCCUAUAAUCCCGGGAAGACCACCAGUGGCGAAGGCGGUCGGCUAGAACGCGCUCGACGGUGAGGGACGAAAGCUGGGGGAGCGAACCGGAUUAGAUACCCGGGUAGUCCCAGCUGUAAACGAUGCGGGCUAGGUGUUGGGGCGGCUACGGGCCGCUUCAGUGCCGCAGGGAAACCAUUAAGCCCGCCGCCUGGGGAGUACGGCCGCAAGGCUGAAACUUAAGGGAAUUGGCGGGGGAGCACCACAAGGCGUGAAGCUUGCGGUUUAAUUGGAUUCAACGCCGGA
rnacentral:rRNA from 1 species